rnacentral:rRNA from 1 species
UACGUAGGGUGCGAGCGUUGUCCGGAAUGCAUUGGGCGUAAAGCGCGUGUAGGCGGUCCGGUAAGUCCGCUGUCGGAAAGUCGGGGGCUCAACCCUCGAAUGCCGGUGGAUACUGUCGGGCUAGAGUGCGGAAGAGGCGAGUGGAAUUCUGGUGUAGCGGUGAAAUGCGCAGAUAUCAGGAGGAACACCAAUUGCGAAGCGCUCGCUGGGACGUUACUGACGCUGAGACGCGAAAGCGUGGGGAGCAAACAGG